GGUUCCUGUCCAAAAGGAGAUUUCAGAGACCGAGGCAGUCUCAGGAAGAGUGAAGCCAUCUCUUUCCAAGAGCAGAGAAGUUCCUGUGCAGAGAGCCCUCGGAACUUCAGCUUCCUGAGACCGCGGUCAUGUCUCAGCAAGGGGAUGACCGCAGUUCCAGUUCUUACUCUGUGAGAGGAAAGAAGCAGCGCGGUGCGGUUCCCCAUGUUUGGGAGCAGCAGCCAGCAGGCUGCUGGAGAUCCAACAGCGCCUUGCAGUGCACAGAGGGACGCGAUGGGAACGGACCGUCCUUCCUGCCACGCAAAAGGACAGAGCCUGUGCAUCCAUGGAAUGGUGCUGGGCUUGGGGGAAAACGGAAAGCCUCCCCAGAAGCUGAUGCCAGUGGCCUUCCUCUGAAGCGCAGCCAUGCGGAAGGGCAGAGGAGGAGCACCGAGUGUGACAUGGCACCCAAGAGAGAGAUUGGUGCUGAGCCAAAUGGCAACAUCUGUGUGAAAGUGGUGCAGCAGGUCCGCUCUGAGAGAGCUUGUCACCAAACAGCAGCUGAAGCUCCUCUCCAGGCCGGAGAGCUUCCUAGAAGAGCAGGCCCCAGCACAGGGGAAGACCUUCCCCUGCCGUGUGCCCCUGCUCCGUCUCCAAGGCCCAGGCUGGAUGUAAACGCAAGGGCUUGGAAGAAGGGAGACCAACAGCAGCGCAGCUGCCUGCCAAAAAGAGAGCGGGCGGUCAGAGCACAGACAGCGUGCCGGCUCCAGCAGCACAGCCUGGGCCUGCCGCAGCGCGGAGCUCCAGGCAAAGAGGUGAGCAGGUGCUGUGGUACCGCCGUGCUGAGCUGCUUCCCUUUCCAAGCACCCCGAGUUUGCUUAGGGUUUGCUUUGCUUUUUCCUUCUCUGUAGAGGGGAAAAGAGUUGAAGGCCAAAGUCCAAAGGCAGUGAGGUACCAGAAUGUGUAACCCCGUUUCUUUCCGUUAGCUCUUGUUGACACGGCUCUUGUUGUUCCCAGGCCUCCGUCUGUCAGACAUGGAAGAGGUUUCCCGAGGGAAGUGGUGUCCUGUUUCUGCACUCGCUUUGUUUCUUUCCAAUCCUCCGCAGUGAACAGCCUUGUGGAGAUGAUGCAGAAGCUGCAGCUGAAGGACUGAGAGGCGGAGCGUCAGAAGGCAGCAGUUACAGGGCAGCGCUGCGAGUGCCGCCCAACUCGGCACUCCACCUUUGGAUGCAGUCAAUAAAAAACAGUCACAAUUAGAGACUGACA
rnacentral:lncRNA from 1 species